CGGAUCCGCGCCGCUGCAUAGUUUGAUCCUGGCUCAGGAUGAACGCUAGCUACAGGCUUAACACAUGCAAGUCGCGGGGCAGCACUGUGGUUGCUUGCAACCACUGGUGGCGACCGGCGCACGGGUGAGUAACGCGUAUCCAACCUGCCCUGCAGUGGGGAACAGCCCGGCGAAAGUCGGAUUAAUGCCCCAUGGCGUCCUCGGCGGGCAUCUAAUGAGGACUAAAGGCUUCGGCCGCUGCGGGAUGGGGAUGCGUAGGAUUAGGCAGGCGGCGGGGCGACGGCCCACCGCGCCGACGAUCCUUAGGGGUUCUGAGAGGAAGGUCCCCCACACUGGUACUGAGACACGGACCAGACUCCUACGGGAGGCAGCAGUGAGGAAUAUUGGUCAAUGGGCGGGAGCCUGAACCAGCCAAGUAGCGUGCAGGAAGACGGCCCUACGGGUUGUAAACUGCUUUUAUGCGGGGAUAAAGUGGGCUACGCGUAGCCCUUUGCAGGUACCGCAUGAAUAAGGACCGGCUAAUUCCGUGCCAGCAGCCGCGGUAAUACGGAAGGUCCGGGCGUUAUCCGGAUUUAUUGGGUUUAAAGGGAGCGCAGGCGGCCUUUUAAGCGUGACGUGAAAUGCCGGGGCUCAACCUUGGAAUUGCGUCGCGAACUGGCGGGCUUGAGUACGCUCGAGGCAGGCGGAAUUCGUGGUGUAGCGGUGAAAUGCUUAGAUAUCACGAGGAACCCCGAUUGCGAAGGCAGCCUGCCGGGGUGUUACUGACGCUCAUGCUCGAAGGUGCGGGUAUCGAACAGGAUUAGAUACCCUGGUAGUCCGCACGGUAAACGAUGGACGCCCGCUGUUGGGCCCUAGGGUUCAGCGGCUAAGCGAAAGCGUUAAGCGUCCCACCUGGGGAGUACGCCGGCAACGGUGAAACUCAAAGGAAUUGACGGGGGCCCGCACAAGCGGAGGAACAUGUGGUUUAAUUCGAUGAUACGCGAGGAACCUUACCCGGGCUUGAACUGCAGGGGAACGAUCCAGAGAUGGUGAGGUCAGCAAUGACCCCUGUGGAGGUGCUGCAUGGUUGUCGUCAGCUCGUGCCGUGAGGUGUCGGCUUAAGUGCCAUAACGAGCGCAACCCCUUUCCCCAGUUGCCAUCACCUCGGGUGGGCACUCUGGGGACACUGCCGCCGCAAGGUGCGAGGAAGGUGGGGAUGACGUCAAAUCAGCACGGCCCUUACGUCCGGGGCUACACACGUGUUACAAUGGCGCGUACAGAGGGCUGGCCGCCGGCGACGUCGGCCGAAUCCCGAAAACGCGUCUCAGUUCGGACUGGGGUCUGCAACCCGACCCCACGAGCUGGAUUCGCUAGUAAUCGC
rnacentral:rRNA from 1 species